ACGCUCGACACCUACGGGAGGCAGCAGUCGGGAAUAUUGCGCAAUGGAGGAAACUCUGACGCAGUGACGCCGCGUAUAGGAAGAAGGUUUUCGGAUUGUAAACUAUUGUCGUUAGGGAAGAGAAAGGACAGUACCUAAGGAGGAAGCUCCGGCUAACUACGUGCCAGAAGCCGCGGUAAUCUGAGCGGGCUGGCAAGGC
rnacentral:rRNA from 1 species